GCGGGAGUGGCGAAACUGGCAGACGCGCUGGACUUAGGAUCCAGUGGGGCAACCCUUGCGGGUUCAAAUCCCGCCUUCCGCA
rnacentral:tRNA from 1 species